AUGUUAAACAAAGAGAAAGAGGGGUUAGGGUUAACUCGUUGUGGCCUUUCAACUUGUUCUCCCUUCUUCUUCUUCACGAUGAAAUGGCGCGGCUGCCAUGUCUCUGAUCGCCUCCGGCCAUCACCAUGAACGUGCUCUCAUCUCCGCCUCAUGCUCUCUCAUCCCGCGUUCUCCCUCAAACUCUCUCUGCUUUCGAUCUCGUUUCACUCUCACUUCUCCGAUCUCAUUUCAAUGAAAGUGCGUUUGCUGUUGUUGAUGAAGUUUGCGUUGAUGCUGAUAUUGAUUAUGCCGUGUAAAUGUGAAUGAAGGUUUGAAGAUUGUUACCGUAAAUCGUGAAUAUAGAGAUCGGCGCGCAGAGCGUUUGUCGAUGAUGGCGGAGAUGAUGCGUAUUGUUGGAGGUUGAUGCGAUUUCUUCAGCGGAGAACGAUUCUUGAGGAUGAAGAAAUUGAUGAAGGAUGCGAAUGCUUCGGUGAACGAUCGAUGAUGAUGCUCUGUGGUGAAGAUUCAAGGUUGUUGAGUGGUGAUCGAUGAUGAUGAAGCUGAAAUUGGGGAAGAAGAUUGAGAGAGGUUCGAUGAUGAUGAUUGGAGAUUCUUGAGUUUUCUGAAGGUGAUUGAAUCAGAGAUAAGAUUGGUGAAGAUUGUUGGAGAAGAAGAUCGAGAGAGAAAGAAAUCUCGGUUGAAGAGUUUGUUACAGCCUCUUGAACCGGUUUCCUUUUCUUCCUUUUAGAUGCCCAUUUUAUGGUUGACACACGGUUCAGUUAUGCAGCAGUUUUGUUAAGUGCUUUGGCCCUAUCGAACCGUUGCGGUUUAGUUUUGAUUUUGGAUGCUGUAAGGCUUGUUUUGUGAAAUGAAGUUGGUCCGCUUUAUGUUAUCAUUGCUGCAAUAUUAACCGGUUUUUAUUGUUUACGUACAAAGCUUGGUAUAAUUUUGUAAUGGAUACUUUGAGUCUGAAUGGUGUAAUGAUAAUUGUAAUAUCUUUGGACUUUGAGAUUUUGUAAUUUGAAUAUGAAUUUUUUGUAAUGAAUUGUAUGGAUUUUUCUUGAAUUUGAAUGAUAAUGACUCUUGCAAGAGAUUUGAAUGAAUUUGAAUCUUGAGUUAAUAAAUGGUAAACAUAAAGAUGUGUGGAUCUUGAAUGAAUGAGUGAUUCAAUAAAUUUGGAUGGAAUUGCAUCAAUACUUGAAUGAAUAUUCGGUGAAUAAAUCUCAAUCCAUUUGCAAAUUUCGAUGGACUCAAUCUUGGUACCUUAAUUCAAACCAAACUUGUACAAUAAACCACCAAGAAAUUGGAAGCAUAAUAGCGUCUUGAACACAAUGCCCUCUUUAAGCCCAUAACCUUGUACCAUGAUUUAUUCCAUUUGCAAUUCACCUCACGAAACCAUUGACUUCACAAUCUCAAAAUAAUAGAAACUCUUUAAUUUUUCUUGAUUUUUGGACGACGAAAUAAACGUCGUUGAUAACUUAUAGCAUUGAGAAGAGGGCAAAUUUUGGGGUGCAACACACAGCAAUCAAGACAGAUUUUCUCUUUGAUCCUCCUUUUCACCAAAAUAGGAGAAGUACCAUCAGGUAAAACAGAAAUAACCUUUUGGCUGCCUGACAAACCUUUC